CCUACUGCACCACAUUCAUGGGAGCAUGGGGGAACCAGCCCCGGGAAGAAAUCAGUUCUUAUCACUGUUGAAUUCAUGUGGAGGGUCCCUGGUGUGCCAAGAGCCUUGGCCUCCAAGGACCUGUAGGGGUGGAUUUAGAGGCCUUCUUCUCCAAUUAAUAGCAUGGAUUUCCUUCAGCUGCAUCAGUGAACUUAGGAAACAGGAGCCGUGUACCAUGCGCGUUCUAAUAAAGAUGCUCUUGCCUAUACCUUUGAAGCUGAGGAAGGAAAUGCAUCAGGCUCUGGGUUAACAUGCAACAGGUUUGGUUUAAGUGCAGCUUCCAGCCACUCCUGUCAGAGUUCACUGUUGCUCAGGGCUGAGGUUUCAGCUGGAGACUUGCAUCUCUGUGACCCCCAUCCAGAGAGAUACUGGAGAGGCUGAGCUGAAGAAUGAGCAACAGAACAAGAUUCUGCCUCAACCACUGCAAGCACAGUGUCACCCUUCACUGCUGCUCUUUCCUGAUUAGGACAAUAUGUGUGCUGCUGACACAAGCUUUGAGGGAAAAAAUGCCAUUUUGAGGCAGAAAAAUGCACAAAUCAAGAGGGGCUUUUCAGGCAAAAAUACUUUUUCUUUGGUUUUUCUUCUUAGUGUCUCUUACCUCUCUGUGAAAUAGAAUGCAUGAAUAUUGCAAAUCACUUGGAGAAUUCAAAUUAACAUGGGCUUAUUGUAUGAGCAAGGACAUAAACCUAUUUCAAAGAACUUAUGCAAAUGUACAGAGGAUACCUCAAUGUUUGGUUCAAAUCUGUAAUUGACUCAUGGUAUAUAAUUAAGAAAUUAAUUUUUGAUAAAAUAAUGUUAUAAAUUAUAGAAUCAGUGAAAUUUCACCUGGCCAAUUUCCCACUUACUUGGGACCAAGAUGGCACCCAUAAGGUAAUUUAGAUGGCUCCAGAAAUGAGCCCAGUGGAAGCUGUAACCAAUUUCAUUUUGUCGCUAACUUAUCAGUGAAGGCUGUGAUGGUGUGUGGUGUUUCCACUUUUUCUCAAAGAACUGAGUGCGUGCUGUAAUACCAGCCCUCCCUUGGCA